rnacentral:rRNA from 1 species
UGCGUAGGCGGCGCGGUAAGUCGGGUGUGAAAUCUCGAGGCUUAACUCCGAAACUGCAUUCGAUACUGCCGUGAUUGAGGACUGGAGAGGGGACUGGAAUUUACGGUGUAGCGGUGAAAUGCGUAGAUAUCGUAAGGAAGACCAGUGGCGAAGGCGGGUCUCUGGACAGUUCCUGACGCUGAGGCACGAAGGCCAGGGGAGCAAACG